rnacentral:lncRNA from 1 species
CUGCGGUGGAGUCGCGGCGGGAGCCCAGGCCGCUGCGGACCACGCGAUCCCGCAGCCGGCGACUAGAGCCCACCUCUGCAGAGACAAAGGUGCUGAACCCUUUAUCCUUUGGGAUAAUCCGGUGCCGGGAGGACACCAGGCUCUCUGAUCUUGAGGACAGACCUAGAAGAUGCACCCCAGCUCACCAAAGACUCUCCAGCUUACACUAAAUCACACCGUGCUGACCUCCCACGGCCAAAUACAAAUGCCUAAAAACCCAGAUGGACUCAAAGAUUCAGGAGGCCAGAAUUUUAACGACCUUCCAUCCCUUGCGGGGGUUGUUCAGCCCCUGUGGAAAGAAUCGCGAGGUCAGUCCGAGAGGUCUGAAUCUCCUUUUUAUAAAUAAGGUCAUCAUAGAAAGGCAUUUUCGUUAGUAAUGUAUAACUCAAUUAUUUCGACAAGGAAUAGCUAAAAGUGGUGAAGGUAAACAAAUUAUUGAUGACCCUAUAGAUGAUAAAGACUUGUGUUAUUAAAAUUUACAUUAGAGAGUAUAGGGGACGUGUUAUUGGGGGUGGUCAAGGGCAAGGGUGUUUUAUUAGGUUUCGUUUUUCUUUCAAGUAUCCUUCAAAUGCGAAGUUUAACAACUGAUUCUGACUUUUUAGGAUUUGAACUUCUGCCCUGCAAAUGUGCAAUGAAAUGAUUUUCUUUUCAAUAAAGCCUUGGAGCAAAA